UACGUAGGGGGCUAGCGUUGUCCGGAAUCAUUGGGCGUAAAGAGCGCGUAGGCGGCCAGAUAAGUCCGGUGUGAAAGUCAAAGGCUCAACCUUUGAAUGCCGCUGGAAACUGUCUGGCUAGAGUCCGGGAGGGGCAAGUGGAAUUCCUGGUGUAGCGGUGAAAUGCGCAGAUAUCAGGAGGAACACCAAUGGCGAAGGCAGCUCGCUGGAACGGUACUGACGCUGAGGCGCGAAAGCGUGGGGAGCGAACAGG
rnacentral:rRNA from 1 species